AUGACAUGGGAUAUGGCGAAUCAGGAUACGGAAUCGUCAGAUCCUGCAGCUGUUAUUAAUUUGAAGCUUCAAAAUGAUGCUCAAUUUCACUCGGGAGAGCUGGACGUGAAGUUCCAGUUGGCUACAGAUUCUCUAGAGAUGAUGCUAAAAGCCAUGAACAAUAUUAGAGACCUGUUUUCAACCAUGGAUGAGGUACCAGAAGGAAUUAGUACGGGAAAGCAAUAG